rfam:Schistosoma mattheei strain Denwood, Zambia genome assembly, scaffold: SMTD_scaffold0005028
UCACUGUUGAGGAGUCCCACCAUAGGACGAAAUGGCCAUCCAGUGA